rnacentral:rRNA from 1 species
AACGAACGCUGGCGGCAGGCUUAACACAUGCAAGUCGAGCGCCCCGCAAGGGGAGCGGCAGACGGGUGAGUAACGCGUGGGAAUCUACCCAACUCUACGGAAUAACUCAGGGAAACUUGUGCUAAUACCGUAUACGCCCUUCGGGGAAAGAUUUAUCGGAGUUGGAUGAGCCCGCGUUGGAUUAGCUAGUUGGUGGGGUA